GCUGAGCACAGUGGUGUAUGCCUGUAAUCCCAACUGCUUGGGAGGUUAAGAUGGGAGGAUCUUGAGUUUGAGGCUAGCCUUGGCAACAUGGUGAGACUCCUUCUUGAU
rnacentral:sRNA from 1 species